UGGAAGUGCAGAGUCCUAAUCACUAGACUGCCAGGGAAUUCCCGAGAAACCAAACAUUCUGAUUGGACAUGGCCUUUUCUUUUUACCAAAAGCUCAGCUGCCUUUAGAUGCUGUCAACUUACCUAGAAGAUGGAACUAGACUUUUCCCAAGUCGCUGGGCCUGAUAGGGGCAGACAGGACAAAUACUCAUUCCUAAAUAUUUCUACGACCUUAAAAUGACUAGCUACCUUACGGGGUGGCCGCUUCAUUUAGGAUUUAUCUGAUUACCACCUGUCGGGGAAAACCUGUAUGUAGAGGAGUAACUAUACACACAAACUGCUUUUGCAUAAUAUGGAAAAUGAAAUUCUUCUUCCUGUGUCUUCUUAGGUGUUCGGUUUCAACAAUAUUUAAGGAGUGUGAUUAUGUUUGACUUCGGUUUUGUGGUAUAAAGCACUGUUACAGGUACCUUCCAAUAUAAGUCAGCUGAAAAGAAGGUGGAGCCAGAAAUGAAUUGGAGGAUGGAUACGGGAGGAUGCUGAGGACGUCUCUUGGACUAGCACAGACUGGCUACACAAUUUGCAGGGCCCAGUGCAAAAUGACAAUGUGGGGUCCCUUAUUCGAAAGUGCUUACGAAUUUCAAGACAGCGACAGAGCACUAAACGUCAGCACAAGGCCCUCUAAGCAGGGGCGUUGUGAAACUGGACACACGCCCAGGACGCUGGCCCUGGACUAUUUUUAUGUGGAACAUUCUCUCAUAAACGGAGACUUCAAUGGGAGAUGUAGAAGAACUCAGCAAGAUCUAAAAGGAUUCCAAGAGAUCAAAAAUUUGGGGCUAUACGAAUCAUUUCCAGGAUAGAAAUUCAAAGGUAAAAGAUUACUUUGCUUUUACCCUUGUGAUCUGGAAAGGGUUAGGGUGGAGUUUCUUCGAGCCUCUGGGGCCGCCCAGCAUGGGUGUGGCUUUAUGAUUUAACAAGAGUUUGCUUGAACCCUCCUAAAUUACCUCAGCCUAUUGAAUUGGAAAAUUCACCGAAGAAUGAAAAGACUCGGUAACAAAGAGGUUUGGUUUGUUCAUGAAAGUAAGUAGCUUGUGAGAUGCUUUAUUUUCCUGUGACUGAAAAUUCCAGCUUGUAAUUCCCAAUAAAGAUGGCUUCAAGCUACUCAUUAGUACAAAUCAAACCUGUUUCACCACUCUCAUAGGAGAAAGGCAAAACGUCUUUAUUCGCCAACCUUGGGCCAUCCCCCUCUUUGAAGGUAGCUCUGAGAUUAGGCCUGUAAUGGAGACAAAGGCUUAGCUAACUGUGGGGUGGGUACAGGGUGGAAUCAGGCAGGGGAGGCGAAGUGUAGGCGUCCACAAGGGGCAAUCUUAGUUGCUACCGAGAAGGUCCAGAACCGUCCAAAAAGACAAUAAAGUUUCUGUAAACAAAGGACACUUUCUAAGCCCCGAGAUGUCAUUUCCUUCUCAUUGGAGAAAAAGAAGGUGGGCAGUGGGUAGGAAGGGGGAGGUCGGAGAGGAGAAGGUAGUUUUAGGGGAAAGGAUGUGAGAGCACACUUUGAGUGGGAAGUGAAUAGUUCCAUUUUAUGGCAUUAAAAUAGGGAUUAAAACAAAAUCACUUAAGAAGCAACCCUAGAAUCUGGUAAACUAUUAACCAGACUUUCUGAGUGCAUUAAUUACAGAGUCAUUAUAAGAACUUGGUUGCUAGGAGCUUUGAGGUGGAUCAAAUGGGAUGGGAGUUGCUGUUGGGCUACGUUUUAUAGUCUCUGAAGGAAAUGUUUCCAUUGCAUUGUCUCCCGUUUGCGUUGGGGAUAAAUAUGAUUUUCUCAGCAUUUAGGACACACUUCCUCAAUCCUCCUCGACUCUAGCUGACGUGUUGCCAAAGAAGCACUUCAGCCUAUAAUAACCAGCAGCAAAGCCACCUACCGGAUUGUUGCUGGCCUUUCCCGCGAGGAUGACCCGGGCCUUAACCUUGUUCAUGUUGAAGUUCUUCAAGUAGGCCUCGUAAAUCCUCUUGGCGAGAGAUUUGAGAUCUGCGGUUUCAGAAUUUUCUAGGUCAUGUUCACAUGUAAGGAUUUCUGCUUUCAAUUUUGCUUUUUCCGAUCUUGGCAUUCGUCCGAAACGAAUCGCUGGGGGUCGGAGGGGAGAAACGGAAGAACGGAGAACACAGAGAAAUGAACAACGAAACACGGCACGAGGACUAACGGCUGGACGAAAGGUUCACACCACGGGUUAGACUGUGAGCAAACAUGCAUGGGUAAGUUACCAUCCACUUCUCAGCACUAUUCAGCUUUCUCCCUUGGAGAGAUGAAAAUAAACCUCAAACCCCAUAUAUCCUGGACUUUUUAAAAAGCUUGAAAUUAAA